AGAGUUUGAUCCUGGCUCAGAAUCAACGCUGGCGGCGUGCCUAAUACAUGCAAGUCGAACGCGAAAGUCCCGCAAGGGAUCAGUAGAGUGGCAAACGGGUGAGUAACGCGUGGGUGACCUGCCUUCGAGUGGGGGAUAACGUCCCGAAAGGGGCGCUAAUACCGCAUGACAUCCUGCCUUUGAAGAGGCGGAGAUCAAAG
rnacentral:rRNA from 1 species